rnacentral:rRNA from 1 species
UGGGGAAUAUUGGGCAAUGGGCGCAAGCCUGACCCAGCAACGCCGCGUGAAGGAAGAAGGCUUUCGGGUUGUAAACUUCUUUUAAGUAGGGAAGAGCAGAAGACGGUACCUCUAGAAUAAGCCACGGCUAACUACGUGCCAGCAGCCGCGGUAAUACGUAGGUGGCAAGCGUUAUCCGGAUUUAUUGGGUGUAAAGGGUGAGUAGGCGGGCUGACAAGUCAGAUGUGAAAUGUUCGGGCUUAACCUGAGAACUGCAUUUGAAACUGCCAGUCUUGAGUGUCGGAGGGGUAAUCGGAAUUCCCGGUGUAGCGGUGAAAUGCGUAGAGAUCGGGAGGAACACCAGUGGCGAAGGCGGAUUACUGGACGACAACUGACGCUGAUACACGAAAGCGUGGGGA